rfam:Schistosoma mattheei strain Denwood, Zambia genome assembly, scaffold: SMTD_scaffold0007616
CUGAGGAGUCCCAAAAUAGGACGAAACGGCCGUC